UCCGGUAUGGUGUAACGGCUAACAUUGCCGCCUUUCAUUUCACUGAUCGUCAUCCGUUUGGGUACGCGGCAGCUCGGGGUUCGAUUCCCCGUACCGGAA